rnacentral:rRNA from 1 species
UACGUAGGGUGCGAGCGUUGUCCGGAAUUACUGGGCGUAAAGAGUUCGUAGGCGGUUUGUCGCGUCGUUCGUGAAAACUUGGGGCUUAACUCCAAGCGUGCGGGCGAUACGGGCAGACUUGAGUACUACAGGGGAGACUGGAAUUCCUGGUGUAGCGGUGGAAAUGCGCAGAUAUCAGGAGGAACACCGGUGGCGAAGGCGGGUCUCUGGGCCGAUACUGACGCUGAGGAGCGAAAGCGUGGGGAGCGAACAGG